UAGGGAAUCUUCGGCAAUGGACGAAAGUCUGACCGAGCAAUGCCGCGUGAGUGAAGAAGGUUUUCGGAUCGUAAAACUCUGUUGUUAGAGAAGAACAAGGACGUUAGUAACUGAACGUCCCCUGACGGUAUCUAACCAGAAAGCCACGGCUAACUACGUGCCAGCAGCCGCGGUAAUACGUAGGUGGCAAGCGUUGUCCGGAUUUAGUGGGCGUAAAGCGAGCGCAGGCGGUUUCUUAAGUCUGAUGUGAAAGCCCCCGGCUCAACCGGGGAGGGUCAUUGGAAACUGGGAGACUUGAGUGCAGAAGAGGAGAGUGGAAUUCCAUGUGUAGCGGUGAAAUGCGUAGAUAUAUGGAGGAACACCAGUGGCGAAGGCGGCUCUCUGGUCUGUAACUGACGCUGAGGCUCGAAAGCGUGGGGAGCAAACAGG
rnacentral:rRNA from 1 species